AAUAGAUACCCUGGUAGUCCACGCCGUAAACGAUGAGUGCUAAGUGUUAGGGGGUUUCCGCCCCUUAGUGCUGCAGCUAGCGCAUUAAGCACUCCGCCUGGGAAGUACGGUCGCAAGACUGAAACUCAAAGGAAUUGACGGGGGCCCGCACAAGCGGUGGAGCAUGUGGUUUAAUUCGAAGCAACGCGAAGAACCUUACCAGGUCUUGACAUCCCGUUGACCACUGUAGAGAUAUAGUUUCCCCUUCGGGGGCAACGGUGACAGGUGGUGCAUGGUUGUCGUCAGCUCGUGUCGUGAGAUGUUGGGCUAAGUCCCGCAACGAGCGCAACCCUUGAUCUUAGUUGCCAUCAUUUAGUUGGGCACUCUAAGGUGACUGCCGGUGACAAACCGGAGGAAGGUGGGGAUGACGUCAAAUCAUCAUGCCCCUUAUGACCUGGGCUACACACGUGCUACAAUGGACGAUACAAACGGUUGCCAACUCGCGAGAGGGAGCUAAUCCGAUAAAGUCGUUCUCAGUUCGGACUGUAGGCUGCAACG
rnacentral:rRNA from 1 species